rnacentral:sRNA from 1 species
CUUCCCUGAAAGCAACCACAGCUCUAAAAAAUGCUCGGAGAACUGCCCAUCGGAAAACAGCUACGGGAUCAAUGCCAGUCAUCCCAGAAACAAAAGCAUUCCUGCUACUUCUCAGAAGAGCCACAAUGUCUGGACGCAUAUGAUCUGUAUUUUUUUCCCGAAAAUCCUAUGAAAAAAGUACCAAUGUUAUUUCUGAAAAAGACUACUAAAAUCAAGAAGAUAGUAGUUCAUGAUGUGAGCACCUCGGCUUCUCCUUCAGCUGCCAUGCCUGCUGCUUCCCUACCAUGAUAGACUCUUACCUUUCUGGAAUGGUAAGACCAAAUAAACUUUUUCUUCUAUAAA